GAUGAACGCUGGCGGCGUGCUUAACACAUGCAAGUCGAACGGAAAGGCCGAAGCUUGCUUCGGUACUCGAGUGGCGAACGGGUGAGUAACACGUGGGUGAUCUGCCCUGUACUUCGGGAUAAGCUUGGGAAACUGGGUCUAAUACCGGAUAUGACGAUCUCUUGGAUGGGGUUGUGGAAAGCUUUUGCGGUAUGGGAUGAGCUCGCGGCCUAUCAGCUUGUUGGUGGGGUAAUGGCCUACCAAGGCGUCGACGGGUAGCCGGCCUGAGAGGGUGGACGGCCACAUUGGGACUGAGAUACGGCCCAGACUCCGACGGGAGGCAGUAGUGGGGAAUAUUGCACAAUGGGCGCAAGCCUGAUGCAGCGACGCCGCGUGGGGGGUGACGGCCUUCGGGUUGUAAACUCCUUUCGCAAUCGACGAAGCCUUUUGGUGACGGUAGGUUGAGAAGAAGCACCGGCUAACUACGUG
rnacentral:rRNA from 1 species